GGCGAUCAGAUACCGCCCUAGUUCUAACCGUAAACGAUGACAACCAGCGAUUAGUCGGUGUUAAUAUACGACCCGACUAGCAGCUUCCGGGAAACCAAAGUUUUUCGUUUCCGGGGGAAGUAUGGUUGCAAAGCUGAAACUUAAAGGAAUUGACGGAAGGGCACCACCAGGAGUGGAGCCUGCGGCUUAAUUUGACUCAACACGGGAAAACUCACCCGGCCCGGACACCGUAAGGAUUGACAGACUGAGAGCUCUUUCUUAAUUCGGUGGGUGGUGGUGCAUGGCCGUUCUUAGUUGGUGGAGCGAUUUGUCUGGUUAAUUCCGAUAACGAACGAGACUCUGGCCUAUUAAAUAGUCGGUAUAUCCGGAAAAGUUUACCGUACUUCUUAGAGGGACAAACGGCGUCUAGCCGCGUGAAAUAGAGCAAUAACAGGUCUGUGAUGCCCUUAGAUGUCCGGGGCUGCACGCGCGCUACACUGAAAGAAUCAGUAUGCGCUUUAACCUAGUCCGGAAGGAUUGGGUAACCCGAGCAAAUUCUUUCGUGCUUGGGAUAGGGAAUUGCAAUUAUUUCCCUUAAACGAGGAAUUCCCAGUAAAUGCGGGUCAUAAGCUCGCGUUGAUUACGUCCCUGCCCUUUGUA
rnacentral:rRNA from 1 species